AUACCAAAGAACUCCCUCAAGCUACUUUCCCCAAUAUAAACCCCUCAUUCUGUAAGCUUGGUGCUGCUUCCCUUGACUGUUAAGGGGUCAGCCGGCAGGUUAAUAAAAACUUGCUCGCCUGACUUUGGGUCUAUUUUUCCUUUCUCUUGGCUGACCUUACAUUCUGGUGCCGAAACCGGGAAGGGGAUAGACUCUGGCCGGCUCUCGCUCUCUGUCUCUCUCUCUCUCACUCUCUCUUUCUCUCUCUCUCUCCCCCUCCCUCCCCUAUCACCUAUCUCCUGGCCAGUCUCUCCCCUUCCCUGAACCUGCCGAAGUCCCAGAGAAUCUCCUAGACUCUCCCACUGCUGACGACUUCAUCCACCAUCAAAGCCUCCGCCAGGCUCCUCGGCCUAGCCACUGAAGACUGACAAGGCCCAGGGCCCCUGGCCCCCACUGCCAUC
rnacentral:lncRNA from 1 species